UGCUACACAUGCAGUCGAACGAGAUCUUUUUUUUUCUUUACGUUCACGUAACGAUGAAAAAGAUUGCAGUGGCGGACGGGUGAGGAACACGUAAGAACUUACCUUUUGGCGGGGGAUAACAUCGGGAAACUGUUGCUAAUACCCCAUAAUGCUGAGGAGCGAAAGGGAAACUGCCAAAAGAGAGGCUUGCGUCUGAUUAGCUAGUUGGAGGAGGUAAAUGCUCCCCAAGGCGACGAUCAGUAGCUGGUCUGAGAGGAUGAUCAGCCACACUGGGACUGAGACACGGCCCAGACUCCUACGGGAGGCAGCAGUGGGGAAUUUUCCACAAUGGGCGAAAGCCUGAUGGAGCAAUACCGCGUGAGGGAUGAAGGAUCGUGGUCCGUAAACCUCUUUUCUUAACGAAGAAGUACUGACGGUAGUUAAGGAAUAAGCACCGGCUAACUCCGUGCCAGCAGCCGCGGUAAUACGGGGGGUGCAAGCGUUGUCCGGAAUGAUUGGGCGUAAAGCAUCUGUAGGUGGUUUUUAAAGUCGACUGUUAAAGCCCAGGGCUCAACUUUGGAGAAGCGGUCGAGGACUUAGAGACUUGAGUUUGGUAGGGGUAGAGGGAAUUCCUAGUGGAGCGGUGAAAUGCACAGAGAUUAGGAAGAACACCGAGGGCGAAAGCACUCUACUGGGCCACAACUGACACUGAGAGAUGAAAGUCG
rnacentral:rRNA from 1 species